GAGAGCGAGAGAGAAGGAGAGAAGAGAGAGAGAAGAGAUGUAAUGUUUGGUUGAAGGAUUCCCGCUGAAGAAGACGGGCGAAAAGAGUUGGGUUAUUUCCGAUAUCUGUGAAAUGGAAAUGAUCACUUAGCUCUCGGCACGUACAUACAUACAAACAUCUACGAGUGUGUGAGGUUGGAUGGUAAGACCGACAACAACAGCAACAAGAACAACAGCAGCAGCACUAGCUGCAGAAGUAGCAGCAGUAAGUGAAGUGUGCGUAGAUAAAUGGAAUACAGGAAUAAAUGAAGAAUGAAAGAAUAAGAAACAAGGUAUGUACCUAAACAAUGAGACGAGUGAAACAAACAGUAUUAUACACGUCCUUAAUGUAAAAUAUAUAUUUACACAUACAUAUACACAUGCACAAAUCUGCAUACAAACGCACGCAUAUAUGUCUGUGUGUUUGUGUGUAUUUGUGUGUGUAUAGGUGCGUGUGUGUGCAUGUUUGUACGCAUGUAUGUGUAUACGUGUGUGCAUAUAUGCGUGUGUGUGUAUGUAUGUAUGUACGUAUGUAUGUAUGUAUGUAUGUAUGUAUGUAUGUAUGUAUGUAUACACACACAAAUGCAUGUAUGUGCAAAAGAAAAAGGACUCAAUACACUGCGUAGAGUAUAUCUAUAUUAGUAAACAAAGAAUUGUUGCCUCGGGCAGCCAUUAAUAGGGGUUUCAUAGACAACAAAACAACGUGUUUGGUCGUCCUCACAUUCACCAUGAACGGUGAUUUAACCACUUCUAAGUUGAAAAAUAAAUCCUUGCUGGUCAUUGUCAAUGUGUUGUUUCGUUAUUGCAAUAUCAUUUCAGAACACACACACAUACGUAUUACUUAAAACAGUUUGAUUGUGUGUGCGCUGCGAGCGUGCAGCUGUAUGUGGUCUGUCGUAUUACAGUUCUUGUAAAAAAAAAAGCUGCCUGUUCCCUCGAACUCAACUUCUAGAACGAGCAAAAGUGUAUCAGUUGCUUUUUUGUGUCAUUUGCAUUGAUUAAGAAAUGGACUUCUAUAGUGUCAACGGGAACGCAUUGAAGUCUCCAGAGAGAGCAAAGAACCGAGGCACACUGCGUCAAACUUGUCUGGAUAGUGAACCUGGGAUGUACCACCGAUAUGACGGUAGUCAUCACCCAGAUAAGGCGGCGAGCUAGCAGAAACGUUAGCACGCCGGGCGAAAUGCUCAGCAGUAUUUCGUCUGCCGCUACGUUCUGAGUUCAAAUUCCGCCGAAGUCGACUUUGCCUUUCAUCCUUUCGGGCUCGAUAAAUUAAGUACCAACUCCGCACUGGGGUCGAUGUAAUCGGCUUAAUACCUAUGUCUGUCCUUGUUUGUCCCUUCUAUGUUUAGCCCCUUGUGGGUAAUAAAGAAAUAGGUAGUCAUCACCCAGGAUAAUUUCAGUCGAGAAAGGAACUAAACAAGACGAUUCCAUCUCUCCGAAAAUCUCUCCAAAGCUCUCCACGGCAUAUCUUGAAAUUGUCAUCAGACACAUGGAUUGGAAAGGUGGUAAUGAGCUACUAACAUACCUCCGAAUCGAACGUUGUAUCGUUCUCAUCGUACUAAAAUCCGGUCAGCUUCAAAUCAUGUUGAGAGAAUUGGACACCCAGUAUUCAACAGUAGGCCUCAAAAUGAGCCGUGCGUGAAAAUACAAGCGGACCCGAAACACAGCACACAAGACCAUACUGUGGUGGGAGGAGAUGACCGGAAGGAAGCGAAGGAGAAGUAUGUCUUCUUCGGACAAACAGUAAAUAUAUACCAAGGUAUGAACGCUGAAAUCUCCAAGAGAAUCAGAGCAGAGUGAAAUAUCAAAGAUGCAUUCACGUCGCUGUUGGACAAUUGAAAAAAUUGGUAAAUCUUUUCAAAGGUACCGUCCUACUUGAACUCUUAUAUGCAAAUGAGAUGUGUACCAGUGCGAAGAAGAAAGAACAGUGACUGGUUGUAACACAUGCAAAGACCAAUGCUAGGAAUUGAGAAGCAAAUCGGAGAAGCGGAGAGUCCCAAACGGAAUGGAGUGAAUUAUAUGAUCGCAGAAUACUGAAAGCACGAGUUCUGCUGGGCCGAACACGUGACAAGACUCUCAGAGACAGCAGGGGAACUUGUGCAUUUGUCUUGUAACAUUCAAGAGGUCGGAUGAGAUCUUUCCAAAGACGUUCAAGACAUUGGUUAGAUGACAUGGUUGAUAAUUCUGCACCAAAUGUAAGAGAAGGGUAGAAUUAAGAAGAAAAUGGAAGAGCAUAGUGACAAGCGAUGUAUAAGAAUAUUCAAUAUUCUAAUAGAUAGGGUGAUGGAGUAAAGAUUUUUGCUAACAUAACAUGGCAGACCUGGUUCAGGACGAAUGUUGCUGUAAUUUAGCCCCAGGAGACAUCGUCUCCAGCUGGCUAUACGACACGAUCUGUGUCCUUGUAUAAGAUUCCCUUGAACAGGUUGGUAGAAAGAAGUGAGUGUGAGGAUAUGUCGAACAACUUUUAAUAAACAAAGCUGUA
rnacentral:lncRNA from 1 species